rnacentral:tRNA from 1 species
GGACGUUUGACCGAGUGGUUGAAGGUGCCUGACUGUAAAUCAGGUCUUAACAGCACGCUGGUUCGAAUCCAGCAGCGUCCACCA